rnacentral:lncRNA from 1 species
CCUAUGCAGCCGUAGGUGUUGGUGUAGAACUUUGCAAAGUUGUUAGUCAUUGGGUUGGCAGCCAGAUGCCUUACUUACAGAACCUGACAAGUCUGCGUAACCACUAGGCUGUUAACCUUGACUUUCUUCAAUUCCGUAGGUUGCGUAGCAAGUAUCAUAACACUUUAGGACUUGGUGUAGGUUGUUCCGCACUUGGCAGAGGUGAAGCUUAUCGACUACGUAGCAUGUUGGUAGUGGAUAAAACUUCGUUUAUGCGCGCCAGCUUGUUUAACCUUUCAGAAGAAUGUGCGGUUGUAUAAGUAACGCAGCUUUACUGCUCGAAGAGCAAGCUAUAAGCAGUCUUCCGAAAACCGUAGGCUACCUUAGUGCAUUCAGUAACAGCUUUAUGGUUCCAGGGCAGCCGUCUGUAGGGCGUACGUGUGUGCCCCCUCCGUCUCUAGGGCCCGAUUCCCCGCAGAUUAGGCCAAGAGACCCAAAAUCCUUCAGUUAGCUAAACCUUGAAAAAGACCAUUGUAGCUACUUCUAGGAAUCUCAGUACCAUCGUGCAUCUAGUUAUACUAGGGCAGCCAGGCUCAUCCACAUUUGGAUAUUCAGAGUGUAAAGUUUAUCCUCCUGUCUUGGAGAGCUGACCCAUAUAGGUGUUGGGGAAUUGGUUUACGCUCUCGCACUGGAGAGCAAUUAGUUGACCCCCUCGCACUGGAGAGCAUGGUUGGUCCCUCGAAGGGCGCAAUUCCUGCGAUG